rnacentral:tRNA from 1 species
AUUUAAAUAGUUUAAAAUAAAAUAUUGAUUUGUGGAAUCAAAGAUAAUUUUAUUUUUAAAUA